GUGUGACUAUCAUAAAUAAAUAAAAAUUAAAAACAAAACAACAAAAAAUAGUGGCUUACAUAAGAUAUAUUUGUUUGUUUUCACAUAAACAUCAGCAUCCCAGGGCUGAAAAAAUAGCUCCAUGAUCAUCAGUGAAAUGUGGCUCCUUUCAGCAUGUUGUUCUCUCAUCCUCAGUAAGACUUCCACUUCAGGGUCCAGAGACCACAAGAUGGUUGCUCCAGCUCCAGUUCCAGCUACCACACUUUAAUCCAGCCUCCAGGAAGGAAGGGAAGGACAAAGACUGGCACAAACAUUCCACUUAAGUAUACAUCAUGGAGGUUAUGCAAGCCCUAUCAUAUAUACAUAAGGAUAUCCAUACAUAAGGAUCACCGUGCCGGCGGCCUGAGAACACACAUCUGUCAACCUUCACAUCAGAGAACAAAAGCUUGGGUUUGACAUGAGAAGGACAGCAAAAGAGCAGCCCUGACCUGAUUGCCACGUGGUGUUCCAAAGCAUGCAGAGAUUCGGCCUGGAAGAUAUGCACAAUACUUGAAAGAAGUCUUUUAUCCAGGCAAGAUGGGAUAAAC
rnacentral:lncRNA from 1 species